CAGCCGCCGCGGUAAUUCCGGCGGCCCGAGUGGCGGUCACUAUUAUUGGGCUUAAAGCGUCCGUAGCCGGGUUGGGAAGUCCUCCGGGAAAUCUGGCCGCUUAACGGUCAGAAUGCCGGAGGAUACUCCCAGCCUAGGGAGCGGGAGAGGCCGAGGGGAUUCCCGGGGUAGGGGUGAAAUCCUAUAAUCCCGGGAGGACCACCUGUGGCGAAGGCGCUCGGCUGGAACGCGUCCGACGGUGAGGGACGAAGGCCAGGGGAGCAAACCGGAUUAGAUACCCGGGUAGUCCUGGCUGUAAACGAUGCGGACUUUGUGUCGGACAAGCUAUGAGCUUGUCCGGUGCCGGAGGGAAACCGUUAAGUCCGCCGCCUGGGGAGUACGGCCGCAAGGCUGAAACUUAAAGGAAUUGGCGGG
rnacentral:rRNA from 1 species